rnacentral:rRNA from 1 species
CGGCGGACGGGUGAGUAACGCGUGGGUAACCUACCCUGUACACACGGAUAACAUACCGAAAGGUAUGCUAAUACGGGAUAAUAUAUUUGAGAGGCAUCUCUUGAAUAUCAAAGGUGAGCCAGUACAGGAUGGACCCGCGUCUGAUUAGCUAGUUGGUAAGGUAACGGCUUACCAAGGCGACGAUCAGUAGUCGACCUGAGAGGGUGAUCGGCCACAUUGGAACUGAGACACGGUCCAA